CAGGUGCUGGACUUGCCUCUGUGGAUGUGCGCUGAGCUCUCACUGCAGGGGACUGUGAGGCCUGACUGGCUCUUGAAGAAACUUGAAGAAGGAAUUUGGAUAUAUAAAAACAAGCUGAGAAGAGCAUCAGUGUGUUCACUGGCAGCACGGGCUGGGAUGAGGGCUGAGCAGGACCCAAGCUGCAGCACAUCAUCCAUUCAGCUUUCACCUCAUGUUUUAUCACGGCCUUUAUGAGACAGAUGUGAAUCGAUGAGUCCCAGGCCGAGCCGUGCCCGUGCCCCGUUCUGUUGGAGCUGGUGCUUUCCUGACACAUUCACCAGCCACACUCUGUAAAAAAUACUCCUGGGUCUGCUGCUGUUCCUCUUCCUGCUUUAUAUUCAAUUUUCCACCCCUUCUCUCCUCUCUGUCCGCUGUGUCUUUUGUGUUCCUUUCUUGGCCUGUGUGCUCCCCAUCCCAUUCCCUUUCACUGCUUCACUCUCUCUUGUUCUUCUUUUUCUUUUUUGAAAUGAAUACUCAAUAUUUAUGUAAUAUCUCUUACUCAAUCCCUCUCCCUGUUCUGUCCUACUUUUUGCCUCUGUCUCACUUGCUGCCUGCAUCUUUAUUUCUCCUUUCUUCCUCUCCUUGUCCCUCUGUCCUGCACCGUGACUGUGUUUCUUUGUCCCUGUCACUGUCCCUUUGCCUGUACCUGUGUGCACCUGCUCCUGCCCAGUGCUCCUCCCUGACCGUCCCCUCUCUUGGUGAGCCUCUGUCCUGCUGGCCGUGCCUCUCUGUCUCCGUCCCUGUGCUGCUCCUUGGCCGCGUUUGCCCGCCCUGGCACGUGCCGCGGUCGAUUCCUCUGCGGGUUCUUGUUUCCCUCUUUGUAUCCCUCAGUCAUUGCUGCGUGUUUGGCACCGUGUUUCAUUCUGCGUCCUUCUCCGUGCCUCGCUCGUGUUCCUGUUUUAUUCUGUGUGGCUCUGUGGAGCUCCCCGUGCCGGUGGUUCCCACGGGUGUGUCCCAUUUGCUGUCCCUGUUCUUUUUUAAUCCCUCUCUGUGUGCGGCCCAUUCACCAUCCCAGGUGUUUUUUGGUUUUUUUUCCAUUUCAUCCUGCGCCUUGAUCUUAGUUUUCUUGCUGUGUCCUCUCUGCUGGCGCUCCCUCUUCUGCCCCUUGUUGCCUGUGUCUGCGGGGCUGAGAAGGAACUUCAGCCCUUCUGGGGGCUGUCCCCCACUUCCUUGCGUGAGCAGAGUCCCUUUUUGGGGGGAUGGACCGUGGGAAGGGUUCGAAUAAAGUGCCGUGCUCCUGCCCGAG